CGUGAACACUAGGGGUGCUUGCUUGCAGGCUGAGAGACGGCGAAUCGCUGUUAACCCUUAUAACCCGAACUAGAUAAUACUAGCGUGGGGAAGUGAAGGUAGAUUACG
rnacentral:ncRNA from 2 species